ensembl:lncRNA
CCCCCCCAAAAAAGCGGGUUUGGGAAAGCUGCAUCUCUGCUGCGAUACAAGAACUCUUUCAAACUGUUUUCCCCUUUCAGAGCAAAAAAAGAAAAAACUCCGGAUGAACUUUACUGCGACACAUCGUUCCUCGCGCGGCCGUGCGCGUGAUGCGUGUGACCGCGGGACUUGUGUCCUAACCUACCACCCGCUCCUCCAUCAUCCACUUCUUGCGCCCUGCGGGACUUGUUGCGUGUCCCGCGUCCACGGAAGUCCCGCCCCACGCGAGGCGGCCGACACCGCGCCGGGUUCCUCACUUCGUCCAGUUCGGGGACGCGCGGCGCAGAGCGACACUUCUCAGACGGAAACUUUUUAAGUUAUUUACAUUUUGAAAAAGUGUCUCAGUUUGUUGGAAUUCUGUGGAUUGAACUGAAAGUGAAAACGUUGCGGAAUCAGCGUGACAAUGUUGUUUUGUUUCCUCACGGUGGUCGAAAGCGUCCCGGUUAAUCUCCCGAAUCCAAGCUGUCAAUUUACAUUAUAAUAAUUUUAUUCAACGGUCCUCCAAAGUAAAAUAAAUGCAAAAUAUAAUAAUAUUUGUAAAAUGAUAUGCAGUGUUGUUUGCUGGGUAAAAUAUGAUGCUGGUGGAAGUUCAUGUUCAACGUUAAAUUGUGGCGUGGUCAUGGAUGGCAUGUUUAGAAUGAUCUGUUUCAUAAGGGUCUAAUGUUUGUUGAUAAACAAUAACCACGGCGUGAAGAAAUUGGUCAUAAAAUGUGUUCUGGUCUCUUAUUGCAGGUAAGAACCAACCUCUCUGCUAACUGAAGCCGAAGUGUGUUAAAACUUGAAUUAUCUUCACUGACCAGCAGGGGGCGACUGCUCCAGGUUGCAACAUGGAGGUCACCCAACUUCUGACUGGAUUUAUUCCCUCAGCAAACAUUGUAAAGAGACGUACCCAGGAUUGAAAUAAGCCACCUGACCCCUUAAUUCCAAUCUGAUGGUUUUGCAUGCGACUGCGCUCUUUAUGGAGUCUUCAUUCAUGGGGAACUGCCUGGUCAAGGUUGCACCCCAGAUGCCAGCGGGCCCCAGACCAAACAGGCCCGCAGCCUGGGAGACUGCUGCUGUGUGACAUCACUUCCUGCCAUUGUGUGGAGAACGCUGAGUCGUACAAGAGAGCGGGGCCAGUAACAUCCCAAUCAAGUGUCUGGCUGCCGUCAGACCGACAAGAAAAACAGAACUUACAAUUAGAGGAAAACAACAGACUUUAGGCCAGACGUAUGAGUCAUAAGAGAUAAAGACACGGCAGUUGCUUAUGUCUUGGCCUGGUGGACAAUAAAAAAUGAUCUAUUUUUGACUAUACGAGACAAACAGCAUUUAUUUUGAAUGGGAUCAACCAUAUUCAUCUUUGAAUGGAUGGGAACAAUUCCAAAAUAUGGAAAAAUGUAAGUUGUCUUCUGCCCCCAAGUGGCCAAUGAAAUAUCAACUGUGUUUUAAGAAAACUACAAUGAAACAUAUUGCAUGAGUUUGAAAAAAGAAAGAUUAGGAAAAAUAUGAGUCUCACAACUGCAUGUUAUACGCUAUGCUGGCAAGUCCACAGUUAAUUGCAGACAUUCCUCCUCUGUCGUUCCAAUGUGAAGGCUCCUGACAACACCCCUCUUGCUGCUGCAGAAUGGUACGUCCCAAUUAUCCAAUUUACCUAUUCAUGGAUGCGCGAUGCAGCUGCUCCACCUUUUGCAAGGUUACUAUAUAUUUGAGUCUGUCUAACAAGUGUCUGAAUUUAAAUGGAGGAAAAAGCAGUCCGGCCAGUUGGAGCAGCCACUCGGAUAUUAAUAUUGAUAUCAGCCUCAAAAAUCCAGUAUCGGUCAUGCUUUAAACAACAUGCAUAAUGUAGCUUAGCAGUUCCCAAACCUGGAGUGGGGAUCCAAACAGAGGUGCUCAAUAUGAAUCCCUUGUUUGGCAAAAUAGAAAAAAAGAAAUUUGUAUUUUGUAUUGUUGUUUUUUUUUUCUUCAGUCGAAACCAGAUAAAAAUAUGAAAGGA